GCCUGGGUAGCUCAGUUGGUUAAGUGUCUGACUCUUGAUUUCAGCUCAGAUCGUGAUCUCAGGGUUGUGAGAUCAAGUCUCACGUCGGGCU
rnacentral:tRNA from 1 species